rnacentral:rRNA from 1 species
UACGUAGGAUGCAAGCGUUGUUCGGAAUUACUGGGCGUAAAGAGUACGUAGGCGGUUUGAUAAGUCUGAUAUUAAAUACAGAAGCUUAACUUCUGAACUGUAUCGGAAACUGUCAGACUAGAGGACAAUAGAGGAAGUCGGAAUUCUCAGUGUAGCGGUGAAAUGCGUAGAUAUUCGCAAGAACACCAGUGGCGAAGGCGGCUCACUGGCCCGAUACUGACGCUGAGGCACGAAAGCGUGGGGAGCAAACAGG